rnacentral:snRNA from 1 species
AAACUAACCUUGCUGAGAGGAAUCUCGCGAUCAAGAAGGCGGGACCUCCAUGGUGAGGCCGGGCCAUUGCACUUCUGGUCAGGCUGACCCGUGUGGCAAUCCCAAGUCGGGAUUGGCCAGCAGCUUAAUUUUUGCGUUUGGGGAAAGCGUUCGCGCUUCCCUG